rnacentral:rRNA from 1 species
UACGUAGGUGGCAAGCGUUGUCCGGAAUUAUUGGGCGUAAAGCGCGCGCAGGCGGUUUCUUAAGUCUGAUGUGAAAGCCCCCGGCUCAACCGGGGAGGGUCAUUGGAAACUGGGAAACUUGAGUGCAGAAGAGGAAAGUGGAAUUCCAAGUGUAGCGGUGAAAUGCGUAGAGAUGGGGGAGAACACUCGUGGCGAAGGCGGCCAGCUGGACCAGUUCUGACGCUGAGACGCGAAAGCGUGGGGAGCAAACAGG